rnacentral:pre_miRNA from 14 species
CCCAUCCCCUGCGCCCUGGGCGGGCAGCCGUUAAGACUUGCAGUGAUGUUUAAUUCCUCUCCACGUGAACAUCACAGCAAGUCUGUGCUGCUUCCCGUUCCCACGCCGUCUGGCAGAGU